AAUAAGAAGCAAUUUGCGUUUAGUUUCGACCUAAAAGAAAGAGUAUAAAUAUUACUCCUUAUUUA
rnacentral:tRNA from 1 species